AGAGGUUGCUUCUGGCUCAGAACGAACGCUGGCGGCGUGGAUAAGACAUGCAAGUCGAACGAGAGAAUUGCUAGCUUGCUAAUAAUUCUCUAGUGGCGCACGGGUGAGUAACACGUGAGUAACCUGCCCCCGAGAGCGGGAUAGCCCUGGGAAACUGGGAUUAAUACCGCAUAGUAUCGAAAGAUUAAAGCAGCAAUGCGCUUGGGGAUGGGCUCGCGGCCUAUUAGUUAGUUGGUGAGGUAACGGCUCACCAAGGCGAUGACGGGUAGCCGGUCUGAGAGGAUGUCCGGCCACACUGGAACUGAGACACGGUCCAGACACCUACGGGUGGCAGCAGUCGAGAAUCAUUCACAAUGGGGGAAACCCUGAUGGUGCGACGCCGCGUGGGGGAAUGAAGGUCUUCGGAUUGUAAACCCCUGUCAUGUGGGAGCAAAUUAAAAAGAUAGUACCACAAGAGGAAGAGACGGCUAACUCUGUGCCAGCAGCCGCGGUAAUACGUAGGUCUCAAGCGUUGUUCGGAAUCACUGGGCGUAAAGCGUGCGUAGGCUGUUUCGUAAGUCGUGUGUGAAAGGCAUGGGCUCAACCCGUGGAUCGCAUUGGAAACUGUCAUAUUUGAUUGCCGGAGGGGUAAGCGGAAUUCCUAUUGUAGCGGUGAAAUGCGUAGAUAUUAGGAGGAACACCAGUGGCGAAGGCGGCUUACUUGGACGGUAACUGACGUUGAGGCUGG
rnacentral:rRNA from 1 species